rnacentral:tRNA from 2 species
GCGCCCGUAGCUCAGCUGGAUAGAGCACGUGCCUUCUAAGCAUGAGGUCGCUGGUUCGAAUCCAGCCGGGCGCGCCA